GAAGAGCUUUUGCUCGGCCGGCCGCUUGUACAAGUUGGCUUGGAAAUGACCUCCUCGCUGAUGUGCCGCAUCUGCCUCCGCCACCGCCGCUCCUCCUCCUCCACCUCACUGAUGUGUCGCCUCCGCCUACUCCGGCGCCGCUCCUCCUCCACCUCCACCUCCACCUCCCCGCGCCCACGCCCCUGGUCUCCCCACGCCGCCUUUGCCGCUGCCACACAGCGGGUCAGCGCUGGGACGUUCAGCCCGGAACACGCACACCAACUGUUCGACGAAUUGCUACGGCAGGGCACUCCGGUCCCCGAUUUCUCGCUGGACGGCUUCCUUGCCGCUCUCGCCCGUGCUACGUCAUCGGCGGCCUGCAGAGAUGGCCCCGCCCUCGCGCUCGCCCUCUUCAACCGCUUAUGCCGAGAAGAAGCUGGCCCGCGGGUGGCGCAGCCCACAAUCUUACCUACGGCGUCCUCAUGAACUGAUGCGUCCGCACUCGUCCGCACUCGGGCUUGUUUUCUUCGGCCGUCUCCUCAGGAGGGGCCUGAAGACAAACACGAUUGUCUUCAGCUCCCUCCUCAAGUGCCUCUGUCACGCCAAACGGACAGACGAGGCUGUCAGCGUGCUGCUUCAUAGGAUGUCUGAGCUUGGUUGUGUGCCUGAUGCCUUCUCAUACACCAUUGUUCUAAGAGCUUAUGUGAUGGUAGCAGCAGCCAGCGGGUGCUCGACCUGCUCCAGAUGAUGGAGAAAGGAGAAGGUGUCUGCUCUCCCCUGGCGUGGUGUUAUAUACCACGGUCAUCCACGGCCUCCUUAAGGAAGGGGAAGUAAGCAAGGCAUGCAGUCUGUUCGAUGAAAUGGUGCAGCAAGGGGUUGUGCCUAAUGUGGUGACAUACAACUCGAUUAUUGAUGCGCUGUGCAAGGCUGGAGCGAUGGACAAGACAGAGUUGGUCCUUUCGGCAGAUGGUUGAUAGUGGCAUCUAACCGGAUAACGUGACAUAUACUAGCAUGAUACACGGAUAUUCCACGUUGGGCCGGUGGAAAGAAACGGGCAAAAUGUUCAGAGAAAUGACAAGCCGGGGUAUCAUACCAGAUGUUGUUAGUUGGACCUCAUUCAUGACCUCCCUCUGCAAGCAUGGAAGAAGCAGAGAAGCUACUGGAAUUAUUGAUUACAUGUCUGCCAAGGGCCACAAGCCUAAUAUUGUCUCGUACUCUAUUCUGUUUCAUGGAUAUGCUACAGAAGGAUGCUUUGAUGAUAUGAUUAAUCUCCUUGACUCAAUGGCAACCAACGGUAUUGUUCCCAAUCGCCAGAUUUUCAGCAUUUUAGUUGAUGCGUAUGCUAAACGUGGAAUGAUGGAUGAAGCUAUGCUCAUAUUUACUGGAAUGUGGGAACAAGGAGUGAUCCCAGAUGUAUCCAGAUGGGGACAAGGAGUGAGUCCAGAGUCUACAAUUUUUAGGCUGGCUGAUGCUUUGAACAAGUUCAGUCAGAUGAUUUCUAUUGAUAUAAAACCGGACACAGUUGUUUAUCACUCCCUAAUUCAGGGUUUCUGCACACAUGGCGAUUUGGUGAAAGCAAAGGAGUUGGUUUAUGAAAUGAUAAACAAAUACAUUCCACCUCCUACCGUUGUGUUCUUCAGUUCAAUAAUAAAUAGUCUAUGCAAAGAAGGAAGGGUUACAGAUGCACAAGAUAUCUUCAACUUGGUUGUUGAAAUAGGUGAGAGUCCUGAUGUCUUUGCUUUUACUUCACUACUUGACAGAUAUUGCCUAGUCGGCAAAAUGGAGAAAGCAUCACAAGUUUUGAUGCAAUGGUAUCAGCUGGCAUUGAGCCUAAUGCAUCCACCUAAAGCGUAAUGAUAACAAAUCUUUUGAAAGAAGGAUCAGUGGAAGAAGCUGAAAGUUUGUUCUCGUCAAUGGAGAAGAGCGGUUGUGCUCCGGACUCUCGUCUUAUAAAUGAUAUCAACAGAAUAUUAUUGGAAAAAGGUGAAAUUGUCAAGGCUGGAGAUUAUAUGUCUAAAGUUGAUGGCAAGGCCAUCUCACUUGAAGCUUCGACUACUUCAUUAUUGAAAUGUCUCUUUUCAAGCAAAGGGAAAUAUCCGGAACAAAUAAAUUUGCUCCCUGUAAAGUACCAGUUUUUCAAUGGAGUCAGUUGAUGCCCCGGACUCAGCAGACACACAUUGGCAUGGUUUGGAGCUCCCUCUCAACGAUGUCGACAUGAGUUCUCUUCCUACAGACAUGAACAUCAAUACUCACCAAGAUCGAGCUGGGUGUUUGGUGCCACCACGGUGUUUUAGCCCAAUGCGUGUGGCUGCUGGGCGUGCAUCAUAUGGACAUUGCCCAUAAUUUGCGCCCCAUUUCGACUCUCAAGGGAAAUAUCAUGAACAAAUUAAACCGCUCUGAAAACUACCGAUUUUUCAAUGUACUCGGUUGAUGCACUGGACUCAGUAGAUAGACGUUGGUUUGGUCUGGAGCUCCCUCUCAAUGAUGUCAACAUGUGUCCUCUUCUAUGCGCUCACCAAAAUCAAGCUGGGUGAUGGUGUCACCAUGGUGUUCUGGUCUGAUGCGUGGACUUUGCCCCUAAUCUCCACGCCAUUUCCGCGUGCAAGGUUUGUAUCCCACCUUCCUCUUAGGAAUAGGCUUGGGGUGCUAGUGGGUUCUACGACCUUUACAUGACAUAUAUAAGCAUAUGCCAUAGUGAGUUCUGUAACCUUUUGGAUCGAGGACGGGCUAUAAGGCCUUGAAAUUGAGCCAUGUCACCUUUAUGGGACAAGAGUGCCAUUUGAAGUUUCUAGUUUUUGUAUGACAAUUCAGCCCUAAUGUGGCAAAAGUCAGGGGUUAUACCAUUGCAGCUUUUUGCAUCGUGUUGGUUCCACUAGAGGUCUUUUCCCUGAUCAUUGGCUUUGCCUGUUGAUCAAACAUAGCUUAACUGUCAGAUAGCAAUCUUGCCGCAAGCAUAUUUUUCAGAUAACCUCCAACUAUCCCUUUCAACGCCAAUGGUCGAGCAGAGGCUUCCUCCAGUAGGCACAUUGCUGCCAUGACCACAGCCUGGAUGAAAUCUCCAGUAGCCUGACCUCUAGGAAGAGGGUCGUACUAGGGAAAUAUAUUCUGAGCAUUUAUGGCAAUCAAGCACAUUUGUAACCAGAAGGUCCAUAGCCAGUUAAUUAAGAUUUGAUCACUUGCUAGUCUAGUGAAAUCGACAGUUCUUCUUCCCAUGAUCAACUCAAGUUGAAAAACCAUGGAACUGCACAUGUCUGUCUUGGUAGUAAGCUAUCUAAUGUAUUCUGGAGCGCAUUUCCCAUGACCUGAGUUAGUGAAUUCAGAUGUGUGUCUUUUCCCGACAGGUGCCAAGAUGUGCAAGCCUGAUGACUUGGAUUCAAUAGUUGUGUGGGACAUCCUCAUUCUUAUACACCAGCUGAGUGGUAUUUGAUCAGAAGUGUUAUCUCAUAUGACAACAACUCAACUUAUAACCUCCUGAUGAUGACAAUAUUGAAAAUAAUGCUGUAAUGUUGUCUGAAUAUCUCAGUUUUUUGGGCCGAACAUGACGUGCUGGAAUCCAUAGAUCUUUCUGUUAAUUUAUUAUGAUGUUGAUACUGAGCACUGGAACUUGAAUGUGUCACUGAAGAAGACUAGCACUUUUACCAGGCAGGUGGUCUGCAAGAGGCCCAGCAUCAUUACGUCCAGACCACUAUAUGCCUGGACUGGAUGGUGCCUGGAGUUGGCCUGAUAGUUGCUUGGUUUGUGGCCUGAGAAAAAAACUGCUUGCCUGGCCUGGUGCUACACCCGAAUGAUUAGCCUGGUGAGGAUAAAUAAAGUACGAUGCUUAGCCCAGGCAAGGUUAUUAGCCUGGACGAGGCGUCCGGUUUGUUGCGCCUGGAUGUGCUGCAUGCUAGCCUGACACAUAAGACAAGGGAGGUACAGUUUGCUUUUUAAAUAAAAUAUUCUUCUAAUCAUUAAAUGGCAGAGUAGGCCAGGGUAUGAAGCAAACACCCCCAUGCGAGGCUUGCCUGGCCAGGCAAAAAUCUUGAACUUUCCAGGAGGCAGCAAAAAAGUUCAGGCAUGGAGCCCAGGGUGGCAACCAAACUAGCCCUAAUGCCUGCAAGAGGCUCCACAAUUCUGAUCAGAUUCCUCACGGGGACGCUCCAUAUCGUGCUGAGAUGGCGGCGUUCGCGACCACGACCUCCUCGGGCUCCUUCUCGACUUCAUCUUCGUCUCGGGAUUGAACCACGACGAGAAGCGCUUCAUCUUUCAGCACUGUAUAUGAAUCCUCCAACCCCUUUGCCUGUCAUAUUCUUCUCUUACAAUUCACAAAGCCACCCCCUUAUCCCCGCUACGAGAUGUCCAACCCAUGUACAUUUUUCAGUACUCCUCCUUUGCCUGCUCAAUGGCAGCAAGGGAGAGGAGCGAGUUGUGUCCAGCCUCUUCCGUUUCCUUCCUUGCUGAAUGAUGAUCCUGUAUACAGGCCAUUAGGAG